AGUGAACGCUGGCGGUAGGCCUAACACAUGCAAGUCGAACGGCAGCACAGUAAGAGCUUGCUCUUACGGGUGGCGAGUGGCGGACGGGUGAGGAAUACAUCGGAAUCUACUUUUUCGUGGGGGAUAACGUAGGGAAACUUACGCUAAUACCGCAUACGACCUACGGGUGAAAGCAGGGGAUCUUCGGACCUUGCGCGAUUGAAUGAGCCGAUGUCGGAUUAGCUGGUUGGCGGGGUAAAGGCCCACCAAGGCGACGAUCCGUAGCUGGUCUGAGAGGAUGAUCAGCCACACUGGAACUGAGACACGGUCCAGACUCCUACGGGAGGCAGCAGUGGGGAAUAUUGGACAAUGGGCGCAAGCCUGAUCCAGCCGUACCGCGUGGGUGAAGAAGGCCUUCGGGUUGUAAAGCCCUUUUGUUGGGAAAGAAAAGCAGCAGGUUAAUACCCCGCUGUUCUGACGGUACCCAAAGAAUAAGCACCGGCUAACUUCGUG
rnacentral:rRNA from 1 species